UGAAAUGUGAAUUUGACCUAUUUAUGAACGAGCCUAGGAUGUUUUUUGGCUACCUGUGCCAUUCAAAAUCUGGCUGACGACAUGCAGACUGGGGAUGAGAAGGCCGGGGAGAAAGCCAGUGAUGCAUGGGGGCCUGGGAAAAAAUAAGAGAUGAAGAGGAGAAAGAGGGUUACUUAUUUGAUUGUUUUCAGACAUGUUUAUUUGUAAAAUGUCUUUCCUUUUAGCCUUGGUAACUUUAAAUAUACAUUGUAUUAUUCUAGCAAACAUAGAAAUAUGUUUUCGACACAUUGUUAAUGUCAUAUCUCCACACUAAUGAAGAAUAAAAUCAUUCUUAUUUCCA